GAGAGGCUAGGGAUCGUGGCAAGGGAGUCGCGCCUAGCUAGGGACUACUAGGAGCGUGCUAGUCGAUCACCUUGCUACUCGGGCUACGGCCGAGGGUGAUGUCCCUUUGUAUAGAGAGACUACCAUUGUACCUAUUUUUGUAUACCCAUGAUGUAUAUUUUACCUUCGGGGUUGAGAUUAUAGUGGUGUUACUUUCUCUUUUAGUUGAGAUUUUGGUUUAUGUACUCUUUGUCCUCUUGUUGAUAGUCUUUGUGACUGGUACUUUGCUCUGAUAUCAGCAUAGAAUUUUC
rnacentral:lncRNA from 1 species